CCCACAGCCCAUGGGGACCAGUCAGGCUCUGUGUCUGGAAAGCUCUCUGGCAAAAAUGUAGAGGGAUGUACAACCACGAUGCACAACCUGAAUUAUCAUCAUCUGUUUUUUAAUUCCUUGAGCUUGACGCCAGGACUGCAGGGGGAGCAGCGGAACUGGAAGGGGGCUGGAGGACACUUCAUCAGUCACCCCCUUCGUGGCCAGGGGAGGCAGUGGGGCAGGGAGACGCUGUGGCAGCUGCCCAGCACCCAGUGCCCUGCCUCUUGGUGUGCAGUCCUAGCUUGCCCCCCUCCCUCCAUGAACCUCAUGUGUCCCAAGGACGGCCCCAAAAAGUUCAGCGGGACGGGCUGGGGGAGCGCGCCUCCCUCUGCCGUAAAAUGUGGGUGAUGGCUGUGACCCCAUGCUCACGUGGCCCCAGCUAUUUGGGGUCUAGAUCCAGGACCCUCACCACCUCCCCUGGGACGUUUCUAUUUGGAUUUCCGUUAUUUCUCCAUUCUCAGCCGGUCUAAAGUGGAUCUGCUUUUCUUCUCCCUUACUUUCCCCGGCUCUUCUCCAAUUACACAAAAUAAAAUUUGGUCCUGUCUA